GCUUCAGUGGCCUAGUGGUUAGAGCAUCUGCCUCAUAUGCGGUAGGUAACGGGUUCGAAUCCUGGCCAAAUCA